rnacentral:rRNA from 1 species
AUUGAACGCUGGCGGCAGGCCUAACACAUGCAAGUCGAGCGGCAGCGGAAAGUAGCUUGCUACUUUGCCGGCGAGCGGCGGACGGGUGAGUAAUGUCUGGGAAACUGCCUGAUGGAGGGGGAUAACUACUGGAAACGGUAGCUAAUACCGCAUAACGUCGCAAGACCAAAGAGGGGGACCUUCGGGCCUCUUGCCAUCAGAUGUGCCCAGAUGGGAUUAGCUAGUAGGUGGGGUAACGGCUCACCUAGGCGACGAUCCCUAGCUGGUCUGAGAGGAUGACCAGCCACACUGGAACUGAGACACGGUCCAGACUCCUACGGGAGGCAGCAGUGGGGAAUAUUGCACAAUGGGCGCAAGCCUGAUGCAGCCAUGCCGCGUGUAUGAAGAAGGCCUUCGGGUUGUAAAGUACUUUCAGCGGGGAGGAAGGCGUUGAGGUUAAUAACCUCAGCGAUUGACGUUACCCGCAGAAGAAGCACCGGCUAACUCCGUGCCAGCAGCCGCCGUAA